rnacentral:rRNA from 1 species
UACGUAGGGGGCUAGCGUUGUCCGGAAUUAUUGGGCGUAAAGGGCGCGUAGGCGGCUUGGCAAGUGGAAGGUGAAAUCCCUCGGCUUAACCGAGGAACUGCCUUCCAGACUGUUAGGCUUGAGACCGGGAGAGGUGAGUGGAAUUCCCAGUGUAGCGGUGAAAUGCGUAGAUAUUGGGAGGAACACCAGUGGCGAAGGCGGCUCACUGGACCGGUACUGACGCUGAGGCGCGAAAGCGUGGGGAGCAAACGGGG